GAUGAAGAACGUAGCGAAAUGCGAUAAGUAGUGUGAAUUGCAGAAUUCAGUGAAUCAUCGAAUCUUUGAACGCACAUUGCGCCCGCCAGUAUUCUGGCGGGCAUGCCUGUUCGAGCGUCAUUUCAACCCUCAGGCCCCCAGUGCCUGGUGUUGGGGAUCGGCAGCAGGGCGUCAAGCCCGCCGGCCCCGAAAUCUAGUGGCGGUCUCGCUGUAGUCCUCCUCUGCGUAGUAGCACAACCUCGCAGUUGGAACGCGGCGGUGGCCAUGCCGUUAAACACCCCACUUCUGAAAGUUGACCUCGGAUCAGGUAGGAAUACCCGCUGAACUUAAGCAUAUCAUAAGCGGAGGA
rnacentral:misc_RNA from 1 species